rnacentral:rRNA from 1 species
ACGGAGGGGGCCAGCGUUGUUCGGAAUCAUUGGGCGUAAAGGGCGCGUAGGCGGCCGAUCAAGUCCGACGUGAAAUUCCUCGGCUCAACCGAGGGCCUGCGUCGGAUACUGCUCGGCUUGAGUCCCGGAGAGGGUAGUGGAAUUCCCAGCGUAGCGGUGAAAUGCGUAGAUAUUGGGAGGAACACCAGUGGCGAAGGCGGCUCACUGGACCGGAACUGACGCUGAGGCGCGAAAGCGUGGGGAGCAAACGGGA